AUUGAACGCUGGCGGCAUGCCUAACACAUGCAAGUCGAACGGGGCAGCAAUGCCUAGUGGCGGACGGGUGAGGAAUACGUAGGAAUCUGCCCUUAAGUGGGGGAUAACCAGGGGAAACCCUGACUAAUACCGCAUGAUCUCUUCGGAGCAAAGCGGGAGACCGCAAGGCCUCUCGCUUCUGGAUGAGCAUACGUCUGAUUAGCUAGUUGGCAGGGUAAAGGCCUACCAAGGCGACGAUCAGUAACUGGUUUGAGAGGAUGAUCAGCCACACUGGAACUGAGACACGGUCCAGACUCCUACGGGUGGCAGCAGUGGGGAAUAUUGGACAAUGGGCGCAAGCCUGAUCCAGCCAUGCCGCGUGUGUGAAGAAGGCCUUCGGGUUGUAAAGCACUUUCAGUAGGGAGGAAGCGUUGUGUGUUAAUAGUACACAGCGUUGACGUUACCUACAGAAGAAGCACCGGCUAACUCUGUGCCAGCCGCCGCGGUAAGAC
rnacentral:rRNA from 1 species